rnacentral:rRNA from 1 species
GCCACAGCCCGUUGAAACACCGGUUCCCGUACGAUCACCGAAUUUAAGCAACGUCGAACCUGGUCAGUACUGAGUUGGGUGACCGUUUGGGAAUAUCAGAUAAUGU